rnacentral:rRNA from 1 species
GACGAACGCUGGCGGCGUGCCUAAUACAUGCAAGUUGAGCGCUGAAGGCUGGUACUUGUACCAACUGGAUGAGCAGCGAACGGGUGAGUAACGCGUGGUGAAUCUGCCUUUGAGCGGGGGACAACAUUUGGAAACGAAUGCUAAUACCGCAUAAAAACUUUAAACACAAGUUUUAAGUUUGAAAGAUGCAAUUGCAUCACUCAAAGAUGAUCCCGCGUUGUAUUAGCUAGUUGGUGAGGUAAAGGCUCACCAAGGCGAUGAUACAUAGCCGACCUGAGAGGGUGAUCGGCCACAUUGGGACUGAGACACGGCCCAAACUCCUACGGGAGGCAGCAGUAGGGAAUCUUCGGCAAUGGACGAAAGUCUGACCGAGCAACGCCGCGUGAGUGAAGAAGGUUUUCGGAUCGUAAAACUCUGUUGGUAGAGAAGAAAGUUGGUGAGAGUGGAAAGCUCAUCAAGUGACGGUAACUACCCAGAAAGGGACGGCUAACUACGUG